rnacentral:rRNA from 1 species
UACGUAGGUGGCAAGCGUUGUCCGGAUUUACUGGGUGUAAAGGGCGUGUAGCCGGGCUGACAAGUCAGAUGUGAAAUUCCGGGGCUCAACCCCGGACCUGCAUUUGAAACUGUUGGUCUUGAGUAUCGGAGAGGCAGGCGGAAUUCCUAGUGUAGCGGUGAAAUGCGUAGAUAUUAGGAGGAACACCAGUGGCGAAGGCGGCCUGCUGGACGACAACUGACGCUGAGGCUCGAAAGCGUGGGGAGCAAACAGG